rnacentral:rRNA from 15 species
CACACGACUCUCGGCAACGGAUAUCUCGGCUCUCGCAUCGAUGAAGAACGUAGCGAAAUGCGAUACCUGGUGUGAAUUGCAGAAUCCCGCGAACCAUCGAGUCUUUGAACGCAAGUUGCGCCCGAGGCCACCAGGCCGAGGGCACGCCUGCCUGGGCGUCACGC